rnacentral:rRNA from 1 species
GAUGAACGCUGGCGGCGUGUCUAAUACAUGCAAGUCGAGCGAACCACUUCGGUGGUGAGCGGCGAACGGGUGAGUAACACGUAGGUGAUCUGCCCAUCAGACGGGGACAACGAUUGGAAACGAUCGCUAAUACCGGAUAGGACGAAAGUUUAAAGGUGCUUCUGGCACCGCUGAUGGAUGAGCCUGCGGCGCAUUAGCUAGUUGGUAGGGUAAAGGCCUACCAAGGCAACGAUGCGUAGCCGACCUGAGAGGGUGAACGGCCACACUGGGACUGAGACACGGCCCAGACUCCUACGGGAGGCAGCAGUAGGGAAUCUUCGGCAAUGGGCGAAAGCCUGACCGAGCAACGCCGCGUGAAUGAUGAAGGCCUUUGGGUUGUAAAAUUCUGUUACAAGGGAAGAACGACUUUAGUAGGAAAUGGCUAGAGUGUGACGGUACCUUAUGAGAAAGCCACGGCUAACUACGUGCCAGCAGCCGCAGUAAAAC